GCUAACUUGGCCGAGUGGUUAAGGCGCCAGACUUAAGCGGGGUCCCACUCCAGAGAUUAUUAUCCAGAGUUCUGGUAACGAAAGUUGCGUGAGUUCGAACCUCACAGUUAGCA